GGGUCAGUAGGUUGGUCGUGCCACCGGUACGUACUGGUCUCACUGAUUCCUCCUUCCUGAAGAACCGUAAUGCCAUUAAUUUGGUGUUGCGGGGAAACAGGACUGUUACUUUGAGAAAAUUAGAGUGUUUAAAGCAAGCUAACGCUUGAAUACAUUAGCAUGGAGUAAUGAAAUAGGACGAUCGAUCCUAUUUUGUUGGUUUCUAGGAUUGACGUA
rnacentral:rRNA from 1 species